rnacentral:lncRNA from 1 species
UGAUCUGAUCCAGCUCCAGCAGGGAAGACAGCCUGCCCUAGAGACAGGCCCCAUGCACUAGUAAGCCCUCUGGCAACUUGUGGGCCUGCAUAGAUAGAGUGUAUGGGACCUCUGCAGUGGAACACUCCUGUUUGGACUCCAGCCACCAUGCUGUGAGGAAGCCCAAGCAACCAAGACAGCCUACAGGGAGUUGAACCAAGAGGCAGCUCCUCUUUCUCUGUCUGAUGCAGUGGCCCUGCCUGCUAGAACAACUAACACAGGCAUCGUCUAACGUAGUUACCGUCGAGGAACACCAAUUAUUCCCUUGACUCAAUGUACUACCUCUCACAGGAUCCAGCCUAAAACUAGAGUCAGAUCUCAACACACCCUGGGGCAUCAUUUACAGAGUCAACCAGAAAGAGGGGGUACACUGAAAGAAGUGGAAGAUUUCUCUAAAUUAUUUCAGCAAAACUUGGGAAACAUAUGUGAGAAGAUCAUGAUUAAAGAGGGAGUAACAUAAUUCUGAGUGAGGCUGAAUUUAGUGGAAUGUUUAUUUACCAGAGAUUCUAAAA